rnacentral:rRNA from 1 species
GAUGAACGCUGGCGGCGUGCCUAAUACAUGCAAGUCGAGCGAACGGACGAGAAGCUUGCUUCUCUGAUGUUAGCGGCGGACGGGUGAGUAACACNGUGGAUAACCUACCUAUAAGACUGGGAUAACUUCGGGAAACCGGAGCUAAUACCGGAUAAUAUUUUGAACCGCAUGGUUCAAAAGUGAAAGACGGUCUUGCUGUCACUUAUAGAUGGAUCCGCGCUGCAUUAGCUAGUUGGUAAGGUAACGGCUUACCAAGGCAACGAUGCAUAGCCGACCUGAGAGGGUGAUCGGCCACACUGGAACUGAGACACGGUCCAGACUCCUACGGGAGGCAGCAGUAGGGAAUCUUCCGCAAUGGGCGAAAGCCUGACGGAGCAACGCCGCGUGAGUGAUGAAGGUCUUCGGAUCGUAAAACUCUGUUAUUAGGGAAGAACAUAUGUGUAAGUAACUGUGCACAUCUUGACGGUACCUAAUCAGAAAGCCACGGCUAACUACGUGCCAGCAGCCGCGGUAAUACGUAGGUGGCAAGCGUUAUCCGGAAUUAUUGGGCGUAAAGCGCGCGUAGGCGGUUUUUUAAGUCUGAUGUGAAAGCCCACGGCUCAACCGUGGAGGGUCAUUGGAAACUGGAAAACUUGAGUGCAGAAGAGGAAAGUGGAAUUCCAUGUGUAGCGGUGAAAUGCGCAGAGAUAUGGAGGAACACCAGUGGCGAAGGCGACUUUCUGGUCUGUAACUGACGCUGAUGUGCGAAAGCGUGGGGAUCAAACAGGAUUAGAUACCCUGGUAGUCCACGCCGUAAACGAUGAGUGCUAAGUGUUAGGGGGUUUCCGCCCCUUAGUGCUGCAGCUAACGCAUUAAGCACUCCGCCUGGGGAGUACGACCGCAAGGUUGAAACUCAAAGGAAUUGACGGGGACCCGCACAAGCGGUGGAGCAUGUGGUUUAAUUCGAAGCAACGCGAAGAACCUUACCAAAUCUUGACAUCCUUUGACAACUCUAGAGAUAGAGCCUUCCCCUUCGGGGGACAAAGUGACAGGUGGUGCAUGGUUGUCGUCAGCUCGUGUCGUGAGAUGUUGGGUUAAGUCCCGCAACGAGCGCAACCCUUAAGCUUAGUUGCCAUCAUUAAGUUGGGCACUCUAAGUUGACUGCCGGUGACAAACCGGAGGAAGGUGGGGAUGACGUCAAAUCAUCAUGCCCCUUAUGAUUUGGGCUACACACGUGCUACAAUGGACAAUACAAAGGGCAGCGAAACCGCGAGGUCAAGCAAAUCCCAUAAAGUUGUUCUCAGUUCGGAUUGUAGUCUGCAACUCGACUACAUGAAGCUGGAAUCGCUAGUAAUCGUAGAUCAGCAUGCUACGGUGAAUACGUUCCCGGGUCU